rfam:Schistosoma rodhaini strain Burundi genome assembly, scaffold: SROB_scaffold0003088
AGACUACUGAAUUCGUGCAGAGAGUUCAUCAGACACCAGACCAUCAGUCCUGAUGAGACUCCCAAGAUAAGCGAAGCG